rnacentral:lncRNA from 1 species
ACUCAAAAAUACCAUCAGCAUCUGAUUUUUCCUCCCUUAAUUUCCAUGGUCACACAUCCCUCUUUAUUCCUCUAUUGGCAGCACUACUUUACUCCAUUGCUUUCAAUUGCAUACAUGCACAUAAACAACCAGCCAUACCCCCUCCUCUUUUUCUCACGCAGAAACCAGCAGCACCUCUUCAACUCCUUUUUGAUGGCACCAAUUUUUACUCCACAUUAUCUCUCUUUCAAUUGCAUGGAUCCAUGCACCAAUUAUCAGCCAUAUCUCCUCCUCUUAUAUUUCUCACGCAGCAGCCAUCCUCUCAUCCCCUCCUCAUUCUCUCACGCAGGCACCACAUGAGCAGCUCUUCAUCAUCUCUCCUUCCUCCCCAUGGCAGCCCUCUCCUCUCCUAUAUUUUCCUCUCCUUCCUCCACAACACAGCAGCCAUAUCCCCUCCACUUCUGCUCUCUUCCUCACACAAACACUAGAGAAGGAGAACCUACAUCUCCUCCCCAUCCUCCACCAUGGACGCCCCUUUUUCUCCUCUCCAAAUUCCUCUCCAUCGAAAUAUAGUGUCCCCUCUGAGAUGAAAUCGUUUUGUUGCUGCACCUCUUCUUCCCGUCGUCGGAAUCCUUGAAUUCUUCGCUUUGUGUUGCGGUAAGGGUCAUGGCCUUCUCUAUUCUUCACUGAGAAACCCAUGUUCAUCAUGUCUCCUCUCUUUUGUGACCUCUUAAGGCAACACCAUGGUGCUGCAGCGCUACAUGGAAGCCAUCCCGGUGUGCCUUGCCGUCUCCCUGAGCCCGCAGCAGUAGCAACACCUCCUUCAUCAUCAUGGUGAGGUUGUCCCUUCCCUUUCCCUCUCUGAUCUUCUUGAUCGUGCCCCU